AUUGAACGCUGGCGGCAUGCCUUACACAUGCAAGUCGAACGGCAGCACGGGUGCUUGCCCCUGGUGGCGAGUGGCGAACGGGUGAGUAAUACAUCGGAACAUGUCCUGUAGUGGGGGAUAGCCCGGCGAAAGCCGGAUUAAUACCGCAUACGAUCUACGGAUGAAAGCGGGGGACCUUCGGGCCUCGCGCUAUAGGGUUGGCCGAUGGCUGAUUAGCUAGUUGGUGGGGUAAAGGCCUACCAAGGCGACGAUCAGUAGCUGGUCUGAGAGGACGACCAGCCACACUGGGACUGAGACACGGCCCAGACUCCUACGGGAGGCAGCAGUGGGGAAUUUUGGACAAUGGGCGAAAGCCUGAUCCAGCAAUGCCGCGUGCGUGAAGAAGGCCUUCGGGUUGUAAAGCACUUUUGUCCGGAAAGAAAUCCUUGGCCCUAAUACGGUCGGGGGGAUGACGGUACCGGAAGAAUAAGCACCGGCUAACUACGUG
rnacentral:rRNA from 1 species